rnacentral:rRNA from 1 species
AAUAGAUACCCGGGUAGUCCACGCCGUAAACGAUGAGUGCUAAGGUGUUAGAGGGUUUCCGCCCUUUAGUGCUGCAGCUAACGCAUUAAGCACUCCGCCUGGGGAGUACGGCCGCAAGGCUGAAACUCAAAGGAAUUGACGGGGGCCCGCACAAGCGGUGGAGCAUGUGGUUUAAUUCGAAGCAACGCGAAGAACCUUACCAGGUCUUGACAUCCUCUGCCAACCCUAGAGAUAGGGCGUUCCCCUUCGGGGGACAGAGUGACAGGUGGUGCAUGGUUGUCGUCAGCUCGUGUCGUGAGAUGUUGGGUUAAGUCCCGCAACGAGCGCAACCCUUGAUCUUAGUUGCCAGCAUUUAGUUGGGCACUCUAAGGUGACUGCCGGUGACAAACCGGAGGAAGGUGGGGAUGACGUCAAAUCAUCAUGCCCCUUAUGACCUGGGCUACACACGUGCUACAAUGGAUGGUACAAAGAGCUGCGAACCCGCGAGGGUAAGCCAAUCUCAUAAAGCCAUUCUCAGUUCGGA